GAAUAGGUAGGGGCUGGAGGGAGUGAGGAGUCCUAGAACAGCUCUGCUCGCCGUUGGGUGCUAGGGCUCGUUCAACGGCCCACACCCCUACCACUCGCCGUACCGACCCGAGGUCGCUGCCGGCUGCUGAGGAGGCGCGUAGGGGUGGUACCUGCCAGGAGGUUGCGACGUAGGGGCGGUCCCUGCCGGCAGGGGUUUGAGGAGGCGGACCCUGGCAGUCCAUCCGCCCUACCCGAGCUCCGUGGCCACCACCGACCUCCUCUAGGCCACUAUCGCCGCCGCUCCCACACCGUGACCGAUAUCCCCCGCGAGGUACGCCGUAGGAAGGGCUCUCGCACCCCGACGACUCCGAGAAGCCGACCAGGGCGGCGAGUACCUAGGCGGCUGCGGGCAGAGGCUCAGUAACCACACCGUCGCCGCCCCUGCCGCCCAGCGACGGACGACUGCCGCUACCGCGCACGGAGCUGCUGCCCGGCUGCUCCUGGGGCUCGUCGGCACGGUAAGUUCGGGAGAAGCCGACGACGCUGGCGGAGUACCAGCGCCGCCGGCGGCGGGUCCACGAGCGCGAACAGCAGAUGCAGGUCGAGAAGUCACACUGGUAGUUGAGCGAGUACCAGUGGACGAUAGACUUAGCAGUUCGUCCACACGCGAAACAGAAGUGAUCGCUUAUCAUCGAUAGACGAUCAAGGCAAAAAAGUAAGCACCGACUAUACAGUUGUCUUGCUCUCUACUACGAUGACUCUAAAAACGGAUUCAGUACGAAAUUCUGACUUGCACUCACAACAUAAACGAGUCUCUUCUCUUCUACUAGUAUAACUCUUUAAACUGUAAAAAAACCAAGAACAUUAGUAGUAACUAUUGUGUACCGUUUAAAUCUUUUUCAAGCCGAGUAUGUAAUACCGUUUUACAUCUUUAAAACAUACUUUUCCAUCCCCUGUCCUUGAACCCACGUCUAAGAUUAAAACAUACCUUUGGCACCAGCUCAAGUGUAAACAACGAUCAAGUGUUAAACACCGUCUUACGCAUACUCCUACGUUGGGUACAACGUUUAAAACACAACCGAGAACGGUACCGUUUAACCCAAAGAUAUUUCAAAUUCAUCAAAAACGUAGAAGUAAGAAAAGACAUUAAAAUUACUUUAUUGUAAACUAGAUGUUAAAUGAAACAUGUCUAAGAUUAAAUCGUAAAAUCAACUACGAAACAUGUUUAAACGUAACUGUUGAAUGAUACACAAAACGGUACCUUUGAUUUUAUAUGAAAACAGUACCGUUGAAUUAUACACAAAAACGGUACCCGUUUAAUUCUACACAACGGGACCGUUCAAGCCUAUUUUUAAAAGUGUACGGUAAAUUGUUUAGUAGAUAUCAACGGUACCGUUGAAACCUCAUAAAAAAGCGUGCGGUUGAUUGUUUAGUAGAUUUCCAACGGUACCGUUGAAAAUGAAACAAUCCGUAUGCUUGUCGAAGUCUACACAACGUGAACGGUACCGUUAAAUGUGCAAGAGGGUGCACAGUAAAUUUUAGUAGAUUUCAACGGUACAAAUGUACAAAAAAGUGUGCGGUAAAUCGUUUAGUAGAUUUCAACGGUACCGUUCAAACCUCAUAAAAAAGUGUGUGGUUGAUUAUCUAGUAGAUUUCAAACGGUACAGUUGAAAAUGAUACAAUCAACAUGUUUGUUGAAGUCUACAUAACGUAAACGGUACCGUUG
rnacentral:rRNA from 1 species